GUAGCUCAGUAGGAUAGAGCAUCUGCCUUCUAAGCAGACGGUCGCGGGUUCGAUUCCUGCC
rnacentral:tRNA from 1 species